UACGAAGGGUGCAAGCGUUACUCGGAAUUACUGGGCGUAAAGCGUGCGUAGGUGGUUUUUUAAGUCCGUUGUGAAAGCCCUGGGCUCAACCUGGGAAUGGCAGUGGAUACUGGAAAGCUAGAGUGCGGUAGAGGGUAGUGGAAUUCCCGGUGUAGUGGUGAAAUGCGUAGAUAUCGGGAGGAACACCAGUGGCGAAGGCGACUACCUGGCCUGUUCUUGACGCUGAGGCGCGAAAGCUGGGGGAGCAAACGGG
rnacentral:rRNA from 1 species